rnacentral:lncRNA from 10 species
CGGAAGCGGAUUAUGUGGAGUGAAAGUUACACCGUGGCGGAUUGACUUCUAAGGACUCUUGGUACAUGAGGAAGAAACCCGGAAGGGGAAGAGGAAAGCAAAGGCGUCAGGAAUGGUUCUUCCUCAGGGUCUAUUGACAUUCAGGGAUGUGGCCAUAGAAUUCUCUCAGGAGGAGUGGAAAUGCCUGGACCCUGCUCAGAGGACUCUAUACAGAGAUGUGAUGUUGGAGAAUUAUAGGAACCUGGUCUCCCUGGGACGGCUUUCUCAGAACACAGCCUAAACCGAUGUCUGCUCUGUACGAUGGUGGACAUACCGCUGUCUAGGAAGGAUUACCAAGUGACAUGAUGGAGUUUUUGCUCUUGUUGCCCAGGCUGGAGUGCAGUGGCACAAUCUCGGCUCACCACCACCUCCGCCUCCCGGGUUCAAGCGAUUCUCCCGCCUCAGCCUCAGAAGUUGCUGGAAUUACAGGUAUUUUUUCUAAAUGUGAGAUCAAGGAAUUACCACCAAAAAAGGAGAGUAAUACAGGAGAAAUAUUCCAGACAGUAAUGUUGGAAAGACAUGAAAGCCACGACAUAC